rnacentral:rRNA from 1 species
CGCAGCCGCGGUAAUUCCAGCUCCAAUAGCGUAUAUUAAAGUUGUUGCAGUUAAAAAGCUCGUAGUUGAACUUCGGGGUCUACCCAUUGGUCAGGCUUAAUUGUCUGCACUGGUGAGAUGGAUCUCUACCUUCUGAGGAACUUUCAUGCCUAUUUUAUUUGGUGUGAU